rnacentral:rRNA from 1 species
CGGACGGGUGAGUAACACGUGGAUAACCUACCUAUAAGACUGGGAUAACUUUGGGAAACCGGAGCUAAUACCGGAUAAUAUAUUGAACCGCAUGGUUCAAUAGUGAAAGACGGUUUUGCUGUCACUUAUAGAUGGAUCCGCGCCGCAUUAGCUAGUUGGUAAGGUAACGGCUUACCAAGGCGACGAUGCGUAGCCGACCUGAGAGGGUGAUCGGCCACACUGGAACUGAGACACGGUCCAG